rnacentral:rRNA from 1 species
GACGAACGCUGGCGGCGUGCUUAACACAUGCAAGUCGAACGGAAAGGCCCUGCUUUUGUGGGGUGCUCGAGUGGCGAACGGGUGAGUAACACGUGAGUAACCUGCCCUUGACUUUGGGAUAACUUCAGGAAACUGGGGCUAAUACCGGAUAGGAGCUCCUGCUGCAUGGUGGGGGUUGGAAAGUUUCGGCGGUUGGGGAUGGACUCGCGGCUUAUCAGCUUGUUGGUGGGGUAGUGGCUUACCAAGGCUUUGACGGGUAGCCGGCCUGAGAGGGUGACCGGCCACAGUGGGACUGAGAUACGGCCCAGACUCCUACGGGAGGCAGCAGUGGGGAAUAGUGCACAAGGGGCGGAAGCCUGAUGCAGCAACGCCGCGGGCGGGAUGACGGCCUUCGGGUUGUAAACCGCUUUCGCCUGUGACGAAGCGUGAGUGACGGUAAUGGGUAAAGAAGCACCGGCUAACUACGUG